UGCUCUUUUUGUUGCUUUUAUUUAUUUUUAUUAAUCUUUUUUUUUUUUUUUAAACUACACUUCUACUUGCCUCACCCUGGGAGCUCACCUGUGGCUUCUUCAGCUGGAAGAGCCUUCUGUUCUUACCACUCCACUCUGUUCUGGUCACCCCUUGGCUCUAUCACCGCGACCAUCCAUGCAGACUGAGGACAGGACCCCACCUCACACAGGGCAGCCAGGAUUUUGCAGGAGGUCAGACCUGAGCUGAGCUGGCUCUUCAGGGCAUGGGAGGUAGUCAGGAAGCUUUGCGGGCCCCGAGGGGGCUCUAAAGAACAUCCUCUGGUCCGUGCCUCUCUCACAAAGCCCAGGAAGCCUGAGGCCACCCGGGGCCUGACGGCUGCCCCCACCUCUGUCUUCAGGAAACAGGGAAUCAGAACAAACGCUCAGUGCGUGUCUCCCUUCAUACCUCCAAGUCAGAGCCUGAAGACCAUGCCACCCACCUGUGCCCACCUCAGGGGAAGGGCGCCAGGACUCUCCUCUGCAUCUGCAGCUAACGAGCAAAGUUGUCCUGAAAAAAUGGGCCGUCAGAUGAAUGCUAGAACUACGUGUGUGUCCAUGUGUGCUCACGUCUGUAUGACCACACAUGUGUGGUCAUUUGCGUGCACGUGUGGAUGUGCUCACCUGCGUACAUACGUGAGUGUGCAUUCGUGCAUUCACUGCUCCCACCUGAGACCAACCCCACCCCGGGAUGGAUGCCUUCUCUUUCUCCCAUCGUCCUGGACCCCAACAGAGGGACCAGCAGCUGGCCCUUAUUUAGGGGAAAGUAGAGUUUAGGGUGUCAUGCUGGUUUAGCUGCUGGGUGGAGGUUUCACCCCCUGCCCUGGAUCAUUCUGGAAUUGCCCUAGGACCACCUGGCAGUCCUCUCGGCUGUGCCCAGGUUUCCCCGCACAGGCCCCAACCUCCCAGUGCAGGGAUGCUGUGGGCUGUGGUUUCCUUUGAAUGCUGCAGGGCCUUGAAUCGUUUCCAUGGGUUCUUUAACUAGACGGGGAUGUUCAGAUUUUGAUGCAUCUCUCGGGGGCAGAAUUUCAGGGUGGGACUUGCCCCAUAUGCGUCUCACUGCCUCCGACGCUGGCCAGUUCCUGUUCUCAGACCCAGGAACCCAGCCCAUGGGGGACCUGCGGGCUUUUGGUCAUGAAGUCACGUGGUAGGCGUGCGCCUGGGGGGUCUUCCCGUGGCGUGGAGACCCCGCACCCCCGUCCACUGUGGCCCCUGACCGCUGGGACAGUCCCUGGGCCCUUUGUCCAGUUCUGACUCCAGCUACCUCCUGGGCUUCUGUGUUAGUUCAAUCCGUGUUUUGGUUUUUUUUUUUCUCAUGAGUGUGUGUCUUGUCUCAUUAAAAAACUUGUAUACUUCUA